rnacentral:rRNA from 1 species
UACGUAGGGGGCGAGCGUUGUCCGGAUUUAUUGGGCGUAAAGAGCGUGUAGGCGGCCAGGUAGGUCUGCUGUGAAAACUCGAGGCUCAACCUCGAGACGUCGGCGGAAACCAUCUGGCUAGAGUCCGGAAGAGGAGAGUGGAAUUCCUGGUGUAGCGGUGAAAUGCGUAGAUAUCAGGAGGAAUACCGAUGGCGAAGGCAGGUCUCUGGGCUAUAACUGACGCUCAUGCACGAAAGCGUGGGGAGCAAACAGG